rnacentral:rRNA from 1 species
UACAGACGGUCCAAACGUUAUUCGGAAUCACUGGGCUUAAAGAGUUCGUAGGCGGUCAGGAAAGUGGGGUGUGAAAGCCCUCGGCUUAACCGAGGAAUUGCGCUCCAAACUCCCUGACUUGAGGAGGCUAGAGGUAAGCGGAACUGAUGGUGGAGCGGUGAAAUGCGUUGAUAUCAUCAGGAACACCGGAGGCGAAGGCGGCUUACUGGGGCCUUUCUGACGCUGAGGAACGAAAGCUAGGGGAGCGAAC